rnacentral:rRNA from 1 species
GUAACGGCCCACCAAGGCGACGAUCGGUAGCCGGACUGAGAGGUUGAACGGCCACAUUGGGACUGAGACACGGCCCAGACUCCUACGGGAGGCAGCAGUGGGGAAUAUUGCACAAUGGGGGAAACCCUGAUGCAGCGACGCCGCGUGGAGGAAGAAGGUCUUCGGAUUGUAAACUCCUGUUGUUGAGGAAGAUAAUGACGGUACUCAACAAGGAAGUGACGGCUAACUACGUGCCAGCAGCCGCGGUAAAACGUAGGUCACAAGCGUUGUCCGGAAUUACUGGGUGUAAAGGGAGCGCAGGCGGGCGAUCAAGUUGGAAGUGAAAUCCAUGGGCUCAACCCAUGAACUGCUUUCAAAACUGGUCGUCUUGAGUAGUGCAGAGGUAGGCGGAAUUCCCGGUGUAGCGGUGGAAUGCGUAGAUAUCGGGAGGAACACCAGUGGCGAAGGCGGCCUACUGGGCACCAACUGACGCUGAGGCUCGAAAGUGUGGGUAGCAAACAGGAUUAGAUACCCUGGUAGUCCACACCGUAAACGAUGAUUACUAGGUGUUGGGAGAUUGACCCUCUCAGUGCCGCAGUUAACACAAUAAGUAAUCCACCUGGGGAGUACGACCGCAAGGUUGAAACUCAAAGGAAUUGACGGGGGCCCGCACAAGCAGUGGAGUAUGUGGUUUAAUUCGACGCAACGCGAAGAACCUUACCAAGUCUUGACAUCCUCUGACGAACGUAGAAAUACGUUUUCUCUUCGGAGCAGAGAGACAGGUGGUGCAUGGUUGUCGUCAGCUCGUGUCGUGAGAUGUUGGGUUAAGUCCCGCAACGAGCGCAACCCUUAUGGUCAGUUACUACGCAAGAGGACUCUGGCCAGACUGCCGUUGACAAAACGGAGGAAGGUGGGGAUGACGUCAAAUCAUCAUGCCCUUUAUGACUUGGGCUACACACGUACUACAAUGGCGUUAAACAAAGAGAAGCAAGACCGCAAGGUGGAGCAAAACUCAGAAACAACGUCCCAGUUCGGACUGCAGGCUGCAACUCGCCUGCACGAAGUCGGAAUUGCUAGUAAUCGUGGAUCAGCAUGCCACGGUGAAUACGUUCCCGGGCCUUGUACACACCGCCCGUCACACCAUGAGAGCCGGGGGGACCCGAAGUCGGUAGUCUAACCGCAAGGAGGACGCCGCCGAAGGUAAAACUGGUGAUUGGGGUGAAGUCGGAACAAGGUAGCCGUAGGAGUACCUGCGGCUG